rnacentral:tRNA from 1 species
GGAUAUAGCUUAGUUGGUAGAGUCCUUGCCUUGCAUGCACAAAGCUCUGGAUUCAAUCCCCAGCACCA